AACGUAGGACACAAGCGUUAUCCGGAGUUACUGGGCGUAAAGGGAGCGUAGGUGGGUUGGUAAGUCAGUGGUGAAAUCUUCGAGCUUAACUCGGAAACUGCCAUUGAUACUAUCAAUCUUGAAUUAUCUGGAGGUAAGCGGAAUAUGUCAUGUAGCGGUGAAAUGCUUAGAUAUGACAUAGAACACCAAUUGCGAAGGCAGCUUACUACGGAUAUAUUGACACUGAGGCUCGAAAGCGUGGGGAUCAAACAGG
rnacentral:rRNA from 1 species